rnacentral:rRNA from 1 species
CGCUUUUUGUAAGAAAAAAAUAAAAAGUCGUACCUGCCCAGUGAAUAUUAAAUGGCCGCAGUACUUUGACUGUGCAAAGGUAGCAUAAUAAAUUGUCUUAUAAUUGAAGACUAGAAUGAAUGGUUUGACGGAGCUUUACUGUCUCUUUUUUAUUACUUAGAAAUUAAUUUUAAGGUGCAGAAGCCUUAAUGAAAUUAAAAGACGAAAAGACCCUAUUGAGCUUAAAGAAAGAAGAAAAAGUUUUAUAGUAAUCGAUUUUUAUUUUUUUAUAUUUUUUGUUGGGGCGACAGAAGAACAUAAAAAGCUUCUUUUUAUUGGAUAAAUGUUUUUAUUAUUUUGAUCCAUGCAUUAUGAUUAAAAGAAUAAGUUACCAUAGGGAUAACAGCGUAAUCUUUUUGGAGAGUUCUAAUUGAAAAAAAGGUUUGCGACCUCGAUGUUGGAUUAAAGUUACUAAAGGGUGUAGAAGCCCUUGAAAGUCAGUCUGUUCGACUGUUAAACCUUUACAUGAUCUGAGUUCAAACCGGCGUGAGUUAGGUUGGUUUCUAUCUUUAAUUUAAAAGUAAAUAAUCAGUACGAAAGGACCUUUAUUUAUAAAUAAUUUGUGUUGAUAGAAUUAAUUUAAAAUUAGAU